GACGAACGCUUGCGUCGUGCUUACCACAUUCAGGUCGAACUGAAAGGCCCUGCUUUUUUGGUGGGCCCGACGGGCGAACGUGUAAUUAACACGUGAGUAACCUUCCCUUUACUUUGGGACAACUUCAUGAUACUAGGGCUAAUACCCAAUACGAUCUCCUACUUCAUCGUCGGGCUUGUAAAGUUUCGUCGGUUGGCGAUGGACUCGCGGCAUAUCAGCUUGUUGGUCGGGGAGUGGCUUACCAAGGCUUUGACGGGUCGCCGGCCUGGGAGGGUGAGCGGCAACAUUGGGACUGAGCUACGGCCCAGACUCCGACGGGAGGCAGAAGUGGGGAAUAUUGUAAGAUGGGCGGAAGCAUGAUGCAGAAACGACGAGUGCGGGAUGACGGCCUUCGGGUUGUAAACCGCUGUCGCCUGUAACGAAGCGUGAGGGAGGGUAAUGGGUAAAGAAGAACGGGCUAACUACGUG
rnacentral:rRNA from 1 species